CGUCUUCAAGCAACUCAAAGAAGUCCAGACGCUUUUCUUUGCAAAUUCCUUUAAAGUUACACAGUGAACUCGCGUUUAUUAUUAUAUUUACAAAAUACCACAGUUUUUGUCUUGGUCGUAUCAUUUUUUAUUUUGUCGUAUUUGUCCGCGACACCUUUAAGGCCGGUCCGUGUGACGUUAGGCCGGGGGACCGCUGGAUUAGAAUUCACAUCUACUUGCUUUGUUCCACUACAGUGUAUUUUGGUAUUCAUUUUAAAGGAUUGAAAUGGUUAUUUGUCAAUCGUCAGUUUUUGCAUAAUAAUCGUUAAUAACAAAAUGUUGCAAAUGUAUUAAAAAUUAACAACUAAAAUAUCUCAUUUAUAAAGGUAUUUAGACCUUUAGUUGAGUAAUUUGUAGAAGCCACUUUGCGUUUUGGUCUUGUGUUGCCUGUUUGCAUAGGUCUUUCUGGGAACGUAACCAAUGCAGAGACUGUUGGGCACAUCAGUGAGCAGUCCUGCAGGAAGACGACAGUGCAAACUUGAGCCGUGAUGGCUCUGAGUGCCAGCAGAAUGGUGACUGCCUAUAGACCAAGACCUUAAGUUGUCUAGAGGAUUUGCACGCCUGGUUGCGGACAGUAUAUCUUAUUAUGACAAAACUUCUUGAGCUCCUUCACAUAGGAUGGGUGGUGUCAGUAAACUGGCAUCAUAAGUCUCUCUAACGCAGGGGUCUCAAACUCCAGUCCUCAAGGUCCGGUGUCCUGAAACCUUUCCAUGUGUCCCUGUUGCAACACACCUGAAUACAAUUAGUAUGUCUUUAGCAAGAGUCUAGAACUUGACUGCAUGCUGAGGUGGCAACCUCUAACCCUACUCAAAUAAAUUCAAGUAAAUGUAAGUGUUUGGAAAAAUGUACUUCUAAAAGUACUUUUAUUGCACCAUGUUCAUUCACUCAUGAGCUGCUGUAACAUGAAUAGAAUGGCUGAAUUGCCACCUCAGCAUGCAGUCAAGUUUUAUAGAGUCUUGCUAAUGAGGUGUAUUACAACAGGGACACAUGAAGAAGGCCCUUGAGGACUGGAGUUUAAAACCCCUGCUCUAACAUGCUCUGUAGGUUUAAGGCAUUGGCGUUAUACUACCACUACCAUGCUUCACUGUAAGGAUGGUAUCAGCACACACACUGCCUCUAGUUUAUUAGUGCAAAGAGUUUAUGUUUUUUGUAAUCCUUUCCCAUGUGCUCUCAGAGGCCUUUCAGAGCUUUCUGACAAACACAAAAGCUGAUACGGUACCCUGUUAAGGAAUUAUAUUCAUGUCAAAAUCUGCAGGUGAGAAAAAAACACACAUUCAUUGCAACUCAAUCAAUUGCAUUCUAUGUGUAUAAAUUCAAUAACCUGCACGUGUAGAGCGCAGCAGCCGCGCAUAUAGAGAAGCCAUCGUGCAUGCAACAUGAAUUGAAUUCUAUAACUUUCUGGCACAGUCUUCUGUUUAUUGAGGAUUUGUUCCUGUUAAGUUGGUCCUCUCCCUGGUGUACGCCCUUUCUGCCCAAACUGGCCAGAUGGCCAUCUCUACGAAGUCUCCCAGUGACUGGAGAAUUCAAUGAAAAUGAACAGGAGGCACAUCAAAGGGUCUGAAUAUGUUAACUGAAACAUUAAAAGCAUGGUUUCACAUUCAGUUAGGUUACUUCUUGUUAGGAAAAUUACACUUUUAUCAUUAAAAAAUGAAUAAAACAACAAAUUGCACAAAAAGCUGAGGUGACUAGUUAAGAUGUAGAAGAUGUACUAUGUACUGUACAUGCGCUGAUUUCUCUGCAGGAGUCCUAGAUGAAAGGAUUUCAUUCAGAAAAUGGAGGCAAACAAGCUCAAAAGAGAUGUUGAGGCCCUUAUAGACAACUAUAUUGGACAGAAACUCAGAGAGGACGGCUUUGAUCCGAAGGGCAAGGGAACUUUCACAGCACUGGAUGACCUGGCUCACUAUGAUCUUGCAAUCAGUGUUGCCCUUUGGUGGUUGGAGAAGAAGGAAGGACGACAUGUGCUCGACAGAGAGAUCAUUGGAGCAACAUGCAGUUUAGGAAGUGCCCAGUAUCCUAAUCGCUUAGAGCGGGAGGCUAUGAUCUUGUCAUCCUUUGCUGGGAUAAUUAUGAGUAGCCUGCCAGUGGAGAAAAUCUUGACCCUGUACAGGUGUAAACCAGCCGCUUCAUACCCCAACCAGAAAUCCAAGGGCUCAAUUGUCUAUCCCAUCACUCUGUCCUAUCAUCCGUUUGCAAUGCUCGGCUCCUACAAGGUCGCGCACCACUCCAAGAAACACAGAAAAACAAAACUCUUGCAGAUCAGAAGCUGAAAAGAUGGCUGUCUGGGCAGACAAAGGCAAGCACUCCACCGAAGCAAGUUUCAUCUUCGUUUUCCACUUCAUCUCAGUCCUUCAUCAGUGACAGCAGUGACGUUCACCAGGAAAGAACUGAGCACUAUGAAGGCUCGCAAGAGUCUCUGCAUGACUGACGUCAACCGCCAGCAGCUGCCAGAAGUAGAGACAUUGAGCUAAAUCAAUAAUACUAACAUGAAAUGGUAAAAUUCCUCAGUUGAACGUUAACGUACUCAACUAAAAAUGUCACUUGAACUCAAAAAUGCACUUGAAGUGCUCAGAUAUAAAAGACACAUAAACAGAGAAAUAUUUUCUGUCAGCUGGGCUCUGUGUUAUUUGAUAAUGCAUUAUAUGAAUAAAUUGUUACUACAUUCAA